GAUGAACGCUGACAGAAUGCUUAACACAUGCAAGUCAACUGUGGCGGACGGGUGAGUAACGCGUAAAGAACUUGCCUCACAGCUAGGGACAACAUUUGGAAACGAAUGCUAAUACCUGAUACUGUGAGGGAGCUUUGCGUCCCAUUAGCUAGUUGGAGAGGUAACGGCUCACCAAGGCGAUGAUGGGUAGCCGGCCUGAGAGGGUGAUCGGCCACAAGGGGACUGAGUCACUGCCCUUACACCUACGGGAGGCAGCAGUGGGGAAUAUUGGACAAUGGUCCAAAGUCUGAUGCAUCAAUUCUGUGUUCACGAUUAAGUUUUCGGACUGUAAAGUGCUUUCAGUUGGGAAGCGGUACCAACAGAAGAAGUGACGGCUAAAUACGUGCCAGCAGCCGCGGUAAUAC
rnacentral:rRNA from 1 species